UACGUAGGGGGCAAGCGUUGUCCGGAUUUAUUGGGCGUAAAGAGCGUGUAGGCGGCCAGGCAGGUCCGCUGUGAAAACUCGAGGCUCAACCUCGAGAGGUCGGUGGAAACCGUUUGGCUAGAGUCCGGAAGAGGAGAGUGGAAUUCCCGGUGUAGCGGUGAAAUGCGCAGAUAUCGGGAAGAACACCCGUGGCGAAGGCGGCUCUCUGGGUCGAUACUGACGCUGAGGUGCGAAAGCGUGGGGAGCAAACAGG
rnacentral:rRNA from 1 species